rnacentral:tRNA from 1 species
CGGGGGUUCGGGUAUGUGGUAACCUGCUAGAUUGUGACUCUAGUACAGGAGGUUCGAGUCCUCCACCCCCGACCA